CUUCUCGAAAGUUAAAAGGCACUUUUACUCAUUUUAUCAGCUUUAGUGGCCUUUGACCGCUCUGGGGAUUGGGUCUGACUAUGGAAAGUCCUUAAUACACGUGGUCACAUUUGCAACUGAGUUUUCUGAAACAGCAGCUAUGAACAAGACCCCAAGUUGUGUAAGAGCCCCCUCCCAGUCCAUACACCUCAUGUCCCCUGUCACCACACUCAAAGAUCCCACCUUCUUCCAGGACCUGAAGAAAUACAGUGUCUGAAAUUUCUGUGAGAAUAUGAAGAGUUUAUCAGGAUGCAAACCCACAG